GGAAUCUUGCGCAAUGGGCGAAAGCCUGACGCAGCAACGCCGCGUGCGGGAUGAAGGCCUUCGGGCUGUAAACCGCUUUCAGCAGGAACGAAAAUGACGGUACCUGCAGAAGAAGGAGCGGCCAACUACGUGCCAGCAGCCGCGGUGACACGUAGGCUCCAAGCGUUGUCCGGAUUUAUUGGGCGUAAAGAGCUCGUAGGCGGUUUAGUAAGUCGGGUGUUAAAACUCUGGGCUCAACCCGGAGAGGCCAUCCGAUACUGCUGUGACUUGAGUUCAGGAGGGGAGCGGGGAAUUCCUAGUGUAGCGGUGAAAUGCGCAGAUAUUAGGAGGAACACCGGUGGCGAAGGCGCCGCUCUGGACUGAAACUGACGCUGAGGAGCGAAAGCAUGGGUAGCAAACAGGAUUAGAUACCCUGGUAGUCCAUGCCGUAAACGGUGGGCACUAGGUGUGGGUUCCAACUAACGGGAUCCGCGCCGUCGCUAACGCAUUAAGUGCCCCGCCUGGGGAGUACGGUCGCAAGACUAAAACAAUCACUAGUGCGGCC
rnacentral:rRNA from 1 species